rnacentral:rRNA from 1 species
AGUUUGAUCCUGGCUCAGAUUGAACGCUGGCGGCAGGCCUAACACAUGCAAGUCGAGCGGAUGAGAGGAGCUUGCUCCUCGAUUUAGCGGCGGACGGGUGAGUAAUGCCUAGGAAUCUGCCUAGUAGUGGGGGACAACGUUUCGAAAGGAACGCUAAUACCGCAUACGUCCUACGGGAGAAAGUGGGGGAUCUUCGGACCUCACGCUAUUAGAUGAGCCUAGGUCGGAUUAGCUAGUUGGUAGGGUAAAGGCCUACCAAGGCGACGAUCCGUAACUGGUCUGAGAGGAUGAUCAGUCACACUGGAACUGAGACACGGUCCAGACUCCUACGGGAGGCAGCAGUGGGGAAUAUUGGACAAUGGGCGAAAGCCUGAUCCAGCCAUGCCGCGUGUGUGAAGAAGGCCCUCGGGUCGUAAAGCACUUUAAGUUGGGAGGAAGGGCUUACAGCGAAUACCUGUGAGUUUUGACGUUACCGACAGAAUAAGCACCGGCUAACUUCGUGCCAGCAGCCGCGGUAA